AAGGCCCCUUCGGGGGUACUCGAGCGGCGAACGGGUGAGUAACACGUGAGCAACCUGCCCCUGACUCUGGGAUAAGCCCGGGAAACUGGGUCUAAUACCGGAUGUGACCAGCCUCCGCAUGGAGUGCUGGUGGAAAGUUUUUCGGUUGGGGAUGGGCUCGCGGCCUAUCAGCUUGUUGGUGGGGUGAUGGCCUACCAAGGCGACGACGGGUAACCGGCCUGAGAGGGCGACCGGUCACACUGGGACUGAGACACGGCCCAGACUCCUACGGGAGGCAGCAGUGGGGAAUAUUGCGCAAUGGGCGGAAGCCUGACGCAGCGACGCCGCGUGAGGGAUGACGGCCUUCGGGUUGUAAACCUCUUUCAGCAGGGACGAAGCUAACGUGACGGUACCUGCAGAAGAAGCGCCGGCUAACUACGUGCCAGCAGCCGCGGUAAUACGUAGGGCGCAAGCGUUGUCCGGAAUUAUUGGGCGUAAAGAGCUCGUAGGCGGUUUGUCGCGUCUGUCGUGAAAGCCCACGGCUUAACCGUGGGUCUGCGGUGGAUACGGGCAGACUAGAGGCAGGUAGGGGAGAAUGGAAUUCCCGGUGUAGCGGUGAAAUGCGCAGAUAUCGGGAGGAACACCGGUGGCGAAGGCGGUUCUCUGGGCCUGUACUGACGCUGAGGAGCGAAAGCGUGGGGAG
rnacentral:rRNA from 1 species